rnacentral:rRNA from 1 species
CUUAAUUGUGUGUAAGAUUGAACAUUUGUGGACGUACCUUGAACAAAUCGGUUUGUUCAAAACAGGCCAUAUCGAGCGCCUGGACAUUCGAGCAUGGAAUGAUCGAUCGAGACCUGAUCGUUUGGUCGGAAACGAGUAAGGUCCAGGUCAAAAGGGACAUUUGGGGGCAUACGAACUCGGCAGCGAGAGGUGAAAUUCUAAGACCUGCCGAGGUCGAACUAAAGCGAAAGCAUUUGCCAAGAAUGUUUUCAUUGAUCAAGAACGAAAGUUGGAGGAUCAAAAACGAUCAGAUACCGUUGUAGUUCCAACUUUAAACUAUGCCGACUGUAGGGGCCAGUUCGGUAUAUCCGUACUUAUUGACCUCCCAGGGAAACCAUAGUAGGGUUCUGGGGGGAGUACGGUCGCAAGUCUGAAACUUAAAGGAAUUGACGGAAGGGCACCACCAGGAGUGGAUCCUGCGGCUUAAUUUGACUCAACACGGGGAAACUUACCCGGUCCGGACACCGAUAGGAUUGACAGACUAAUCGCUCUUUCAUGAUACGGUGAUGAGUGGUGCAUGGCCGUUCAUAGUUGGUGGAGCGAUUUGUCUGGUUAAUUCCGUUAACGAACGAGACUAAAACCUUCAUUUCGUUUGCCAAUCAUGUUCUACGCUUUUAUCGGCUGAGAGCUAGACUUGAACAAACUAUUUGAAUGGGAUUAACGCCGUAAUCGAAAGGCGUUUGAAAUUUUUCAAUAACAGGUCUGUGAUGCCCUUAGAUGUCCGGGGCCGCACGCGGGAUACACUGGUGGUUGCAAAGAGUACUUAGGGAGAAAUCCUCGAGUAACCUCACGAACAACCAUCGUGACGGGGACUGAACCUUGCAAUUAUGGUUCACGAACGAGGAAUUUCUAGUAAGCGCUAGUCACCAUCUAGCGCUGAAUAUGUCCCUGCCCUUUGUACACACCGCCCGUCGCUACUACCGAUUGAAUGACUUAGCGAGAACUUGGNG